GUCAAUAACCCCCGCUAGAAGUCGGGGACUUGCGGGAAUAGUCUUGCAGGCUCCAAGUUGACCAGACUCAGCACUUGUAAGAGUGCUACAUUACCGUCGGCUGAUUUCUAUGAGGGUUGAA
rnacentral:sRNA from 20 species